CGACCUGCCCAGUGAAUUAACGUUUAAACGGCCGCGGUACCUUGACCGUGCAAAGGUAGCAUAAUCAAUUGUCUUAUAAUUGAAGACUGGAAUGAAUGGUUAAACGAAAUUAAAGCUGUCUCAUUUAUAGUGUUUAAAAAUUGGCUUUUAAAUGAAGAGAUUUAAAUUUAAUUAAAAGACAAGAAGACCCUAUUGAGCUUUAAAUAAUUUUUAGGUUAUAAAUAUUAUUGUAGAUUUAAAUUUAAGAGAUUUUUUAGUUGGGGCGACUAAGGAACAGGUAAAGCUUCCUGUUAUUAUUAAAACUGAUAUGUUUUGACCCAGUAUAAUCUGGUUGAAAGAGAUAGUUACCCUAGGGAUAACAGCAUAAUCUUCUUUGAGAGUUCUUAUCGAAAGGAGGGGUUGUGACCUCGAUGUUGGACUAAAAUAUCCUAAAAAUGUAGUAGUUUUUGAGGGUUGG
rnacentral:rRNA from 1 species